rnacentral:rRNA from 1 species
UGAAUACGAGACGCUAAGGCGUCGAAGUAGUGUAUGUCAUACUUCCAAGAAAAGCUUGCACUGUCAUAGAUAAAAAACGCCUGUACCAUAACCGACACAGGUGGGUAGGUAGAGUAUACUAAGGGGCGCGAGAUAACUCUCUCUAAGGAACUCGGCAAAAUAACUCCGUAACUUCGGGAGAAGGAGUGCCUUAUUCGUAAGGUUGCGAUAACAAGAUCCAAGCAACUGUUUAUCAAAAACACAGGUCUCCGCUAAGUCGUAAGACGAUGUAUGGGGGCUGACGCCUGCCCAGUGCCAGAAGGUUAAAGAAGUUGGUUAGCAAUUGCGAAGCUGAUAACUGAAGCCCUGGUGAACGGCGGCCGUAACAAUAACGGUCCUAAGGUAGCGAAAUUCCUUGUCGGGUAAGUUCCGACCCGCACGAAAGGCGUAAUGAUUUGGAUACUGUCUCGGAGAGGGGCUCGGUGAAAUAGACUUGUCUGUGAAGAUGCGGACUACCUGCACCAGGACAGAAAGACCCUAUGAAGCUUUACUGUAACUUGUAAUUGAAAUUGGACUUUAUUCGCGCAGUAUAGGUGGGAGGCGUUGAUUAUAAUCUUGUGGGAUUAUUGGAGCCAUCAGUGAGAUACCACUCUUGUAAUGUUAGAUUUCUAACUUUGAAUCAUUAUCUGGUCAAAGAACAGUUUCAGGCGGGCAGUUUGACUGGGGCGGUCGCCUCCUAAACGGUAACGGAGGCGUACAAAGGUUUCCUCUGAACGGUUAGAAAUCGUAUCUAGAGUGUAAAGGCAUAAGGAAGCUUGACUGUGAGACCUACAAGUCGAGCAGGGACGAAAGUCGGUCUUAGUGAUCUGACGGUACUGAGUGGAAAGGCCGUCACUCAACGGAUAAAAGUUACCCUAGGGAUAACAGGCUGAUCUCCCCCAAGAGUUCACAUCGACGGGGAGGUUUGGCACCUCGAUGUCGGCUCAUCGCAUCCUGGGGCGGUAGUACGUCCCAAGGGUUGGGCUGUUCGCCCAUGAAAGCGGUACGCGAGCUGGGUUCAGAACGUCGUGAGACAGUUCGGUCCAUAUCCGGUGUAGGCGUUAGAAUAUUGAGAGGAGCCUUCUUUAGUACGAGAGGACCGAGAAGGACAUACCUCUGGUGUACCAGUUAUCGUGCCAACGGUAAACGCUGGGUAGCUAUGUAUGGAGUGGAUAACCGCUGAAAGCAUCUAAGUGGGAAGCCCACCUCAAGAUAAGUAUUCUCAU